ensembl:lncRNA
GACUCGCACACUGAUUUCCUUUCUCUGGUUACGCUCCUGUCUGCUUCCGUGUUCCCGCUUUCAAAAAUAUCCAGCGCCGUGGCAAAUCGCUCUCAGAAUAUAAAUUUGCUGCCCGCUCUAAAACUUUUCAGUUCCUCGCUGUUUUUAAAAGCCUCGAACGGAGCAGUCAGUCUUGCACCGCGUUCUUUGCGGCGAGAGAAGCCGUUUCAGAGAAGGGCAGCCCGUCUCCAUGGCGACGCUGCAAGAAAACAACAGAAGGGAGGCCAGCGGAAAAACCCCCGGUCGGUCAGUCAGUCGGUCGUCAAGCCAACCAACCUCGCCGAAGCACCGGUGUUUGUUCCGAGCCUCAGAGAGAGCCAUUCGCCCUAAAUACUAAGAAAUACGUAAUUUUUAACACCGAGUUCGGAGGGAAAGAGGAAGCCGAGAAACGUUUACUGGUUUUAUGACUUGAAGGUGGAUUUUUGUGUUUUCAGAAUGGCGUCGGUUCUCCAGCUGCGGCCCGUUGAGUGAGGCUGGCCAGAGACGGAUCAACAAGACAAGAGCAACCAGGCGUCUAUGAACACGUGCAUCGUGCCUGGAACACGCGGGAGCUCCCAGCGAUGAGAACCCAAAGAGGUGUCUCGACAGAUGGACAUUUCUCCUCCGGAAAAGUGAAUUUCCUGUACAGAAAGGACCCUUCUGCCCCGUCCUUGGAGCGUUUCCUGCAUCUGCUGGUUCUCAGUGGCCGUUAGCUGAAAAUAAUCCAUAGACAGAAGAGGCCUAUGCCAGGGUGGCUUGUUCCGGUCCCUUCAGUGGGACCAAAGCAUGUCGGACACAAUCCGAAGGUGUCGCCCUGUCUCAGGUGAUGGGGAGCAAAGAAGGCUAUUCCGUCGCCUGCCACUCGGAAACUUGAUUGACAGACGGCAGACCAACCGUGCAGCAGAAGGACCCAGAACGAGCGUGCCGUGCCUUCCUCGUUCCUGCCCCUGACUCUCGCGUGUCUCCCCACCCGCCCGCACCGAAGGCACCGUGAUGGGAAAGAGAAACAGGUGGGUGCAGAGACGUUAUCACUAACAGCACAGACUCACAAUUGCUUUCGGGGAAAGACGAUUAGAAGGCGUCUGAUCCUCCUCGGACCGGUCUCCCGCGGCUGCCACCACAACGUCCCAUAGACUGCGGGUCUUAAGGCAACAGCAAUGGAUUUGCUCAAGCUUCUAGAGACUGGAAGUCUGAAACCAGGGGGUCAGCAGGGCUGAUUCCUUCUGGAGAGUCUUGGGGAGCGUCCGUUCCAGGCCGCAGCCCUGACUUUAUUCACGUGACCUCAGACGCCACCCACGUCAUCUUGGAAAACCUCCUGCCCAUCGUCUUCCACCCCCGUCACCUUCUCUAGCCAUCGUCCUCCGUAUUCGUCAAGGUUCUCCGGAGAAUCAGAGCCCAUAGGAUACCUAGAGAUAGGUGCAAGAGGAGGUGUAUUCUAGGGAUUGCCUCAUGGGGUGAUGGAGGCUGCGAAGUGCCACCCAUCGAGCUGGAGACCCAGGAGAGCGGGUGGCGGACUCGGUCCAAGACCAAAGAUGGGAGAACCGGCAGCUGCGAAGGCCGAGGGCAGAAGACGGACGUCUCAGCUCAAACAGAGAGCGACUUCCUCUUUCCUCCACCUUUCUUUUUCUACUCUAGCGCUCAACGGGUGGCAUGGGGCCCAUCCACGCUGGGGAGGGCCAGCGGCUUAACUCAGCCCAUGGAUUCACCAUCAGGGGACCACUAUGUCCCGUCCCACCCCCCGUCCCCCCCAGAUUCACAGGCAGCCCAGGCCCAGCCAAGCCGUCAUCCGGGUCUCUCGUCACUGAGGUUUGGCCUCAUUCUUUUGGCCUCCGGCUCUCUCGAAAAGUCAGUCAACAACCUUCCAUUCCCAAAGUGGCCUCGGAUAUAAAAUUAAAGGCACAUGAACACGCUCGCCGGCCGGCCUUUGUUUUUUUUUUUCAGUUCGUUCCACUAACAAUGAAAUCUUUCUUCCUCGUCAUCAUUUCCACUCAGUGGCGUUGAAACAGGAAAGAAUUACGGUUCGAGCUGCAAAAAAAGUUUCCUUUGACUUUUGGCUACAAUAAUG